ACUAGCUAUAAAUUAGAAAAUCUUAAUAAAUUACGAUAUUUUGAAUAUAUUUAAUCGUUGAAUUAACAAAUAAUUUUCUUGGUUAUAAAUAUUAAACUAUGCAAAAACAGUUUGAAAUAUACAUCUCAUUUGAAUAUUAUGUAUGCAUACCAUCAUCGCACCAGCGCAUUCCUGAGGAUGAGUAUCGUGGAUCUGAUGUUUGAGGGAGGUUCUCGAUUACAGAUAGUUUUUGUUUGAGUUCUGUUCCAUAAAUCUAGUUCUGGUGGUCGCAAAUGUUAUGACCAUGCGCACCCACCCUAUCUAGGAUGCCCGAAGAGUUUUUGCGGUCAUCAGCCAUUAUCAACACGACGGUGCAGGCGACUAGGACAGCUCCAUCUCCCCUACAGUGAACACUCACUCAAACAUUUCGAUAAUAUAUAUGAAUUUUCAGCGGCAAGGUUACGGCAGACUGGCUCUACUAAAUAUGUAUUUUCCUGACUUCCAAUGCAAAUUACCCGGGGCCCUUAAUUUCUGCACCCCGGUUAUUCCAGGAUAUAUAAUUAAAGUUGCCUUGGCUACGACUUGCUGGCUCGUCGGUAUGGCUGCGAUUGAGCUAUGAUCUGCAUUUAAUUAUGGUCCCCGCCAUAUUCCCAAUACUCUCCCGAAUUGGGUCAUGGGACAUAAACCAGGUCAUUUAAGAGUAAUCCCGGAGCGAACCGGGAUAAUCAAAAUGGAAAUGGAUUCCCAAAAGAGGACGCCACCCAAAAUCAUCGCCCUAUCGCAAUACCUAUCGAUAAGGCCCUAUCAUCCAGCUGCAACACCAACCAAAGAUUUCGAGAAGCCUUAUACGGAGUUUUAGCAGAACGAUGAAAUAACGGCGCCGUACGUGGGUCCCACGCUUUUCUUACCUUUUUCAAGGCUUCCCGUUCCUGCGCCGACAGGCUCCAGGAUUCCGGCUCCUCCUUCGUUUCCAUCUCCUUUUGCUUGGUAGUGCUUCAUUUCUUUGACAUGGAUUUCUCCUGCUGUCUUUACCGGCUUCGUCACGACCUCUGGUGCCAGCCCGAACGCUCGCCAGAAAUCGAUUCCAAAGUCGGCCGUUUGUUUGAGACGCCGUUCUCACCACCGAGAAGUAAGACUGAUCCGGAGCACCUAGUGCUUCCACGAGCUCCCUGCAGUUCUUGCCGAGCACGCUGACACUGGUUCCCGUGUCCCACAAUCCUGUUAGAUGACUACCCAGGAUCGUCUCGUCUGCAAACGUUCUAGGAUCUUCAGACUCGAUGCGCUUUACGGCGGCGACCACCUCGCGUCGCUACUGAUCUUGAUGCGGUCCUUUGCCUUUUGCACCUUCCUCGAAACUAGCCGCACUCCGCUCAUUUGGACUCGUGCCUGGGCAAAUUCCUCCCGCUCUCGGGCACUUCGGUGACACCGUGUCCGAUCGUCCACAGCGAUAGCAAAACAGCCGCCUCUCCACCGCUCUGCAAUCCAGUCGGGAGCCCGGAUCCUAGGAACAGUUCCAGCAUCCUGCUCUCGUUGCGGCUCGGAGUCUGGUGCGGAUAUCUUCUAACUCGAGGGCUUAAGGUCGUGUUCAUCGUGGAUCUGCACUUCAUUCACCCGCAUUUUCCCUUGCUGUCCAUACGAAGCGAGACCUCGGCGACUGAAACUCCGUUCUACCUCUACGCAUUCCUCACGAACCUCAACGAUGAACACCUCCAGCGCGUAUACGUAUCGCGCUAAUCAAUCUCUAGGUUUUUUUAACCACACUUACCAUACGGCGCAUACUUUUGUAAGCUGGUGGAUGUGCUAGAAUAUUUCACAAGAAUAAUAAUUCCAUCAGUUCGGGGAAAUCAUUGAUUUAACCUGAGAAGAUGUAACUGACCAUUGCCGGUCCGACCGCAUUUGUCCUGUGCAUUUUCCCAAAACUCAAACUUUCCGUCAUUCACUAACCGUUCGUCAACUGAACUAGCUAUUACUGUUGAUGAAAGCUGCCAGUUAAGGCCAUCGGUUGACCUAGAGCUCCUGUUAGUUUCGUCUUAUCUUUUGCACUUUCUCUUACAUCUCACGGAGAGAGUGCUGUUCAUGCACGACUCAAAAAAACCUACGACGAAAAAAAAAAAAUCAAGUGCGCGGCUAAAACCAGAACCUGGAGAACAUUUUCAGCUUUUCGUGCUACAAAGCCUCCUGUCCUUCCUCUCACCAUAUGCCGCCUUUGGGAUACUCCGUCACCACUUCUGAUGCCAUUGCAGUUUAGCCUGCAAGCCACCGUCUGAAAUGACGGAUUUCCCACGGCCGAAAAUGGCGAGACGCCGUCGCCUCGACAAUUUUUUUGUUUUUAAAUUGGGCGCCAUUAUGUUACGUUGUUUUCUUUGGUUGAAAGGUAUGUAACAGAAAGAAGGAAGCGUCUCCGUAUGAACGUCGAGAUAUCAGGAACUAUAAAAGCUAGAAGGUUGAGAUUCUAGGGACAAAGACGCAGCGCAAGACGCCGACAAACCGCAACGAACUGCUACGCCCACACUUUUGAAAAAUGAGUUGAUAUUUUUUCAGAUUUUUAUUGGUCUUGCAAAUUUCUAUAGAUUUAUUGCCAUUUUUUGUCACGCCCACUCUAACGCCCUAAAACCGCUCUAAAACUAGGAAAAACUGUUUUGAAUAAUAAAAAAAGAGAGAAUGAUAAAGUUG
ensembl:ncRNA lncRNA:CR42646 long non-coding RNA:CR42646